UGCCGCGUGCAGGAUGAAGGCCUUCGGGUUGUAAACUGCUUUUGUACGGAACGAAACGGUGAGCUCUAAUACAGCUUGCUAAUGACGGUACCGUAAGAAUAAGCACCGGCUAACUACGUGCCAGCAGCCGCGGUAAUACGUAGGGUGCGAGCGUUAAUCGGAAUUACUGGGCGUAAAGCGUGCGCAGGCGGUGAUGUAAGACAGAUGUGAAAUCCCCGGGCUCAACCUGGGACCUGCAUUUGUGACUGCAUCACUGGAGUACGGUAGAGGGGGAUGGAAUUCCGCGUGUAGCAGUGAAAUGCGUAUAUAUGCGGAGGAACACCGAUGGCGAAGGCAAUCCCCUGGACCUGUACUGACGCUCAUGCACGAAAGCGUGGGGAGCAAACAGGAUUAGAUACCCUGGUAGUCCACGCCCUAAACGAUGUCCACUGGUUGUUGGGUCUUCACUGACUCAUUAACGAAGCUAACGCGUGAAGUUGACCGCCUGGGGAGUACGGCCGCAAGGUUGAAACUCACAGGAAUUGACGGGGACCCGCACAAGCGGUGGAUGAUGUGGUUUAAUUCGAUGCAACGCGAAAAACCUUACCCACCUUUGACAUGUA
rnacentral:rRNA from 1 species